rnacentral:rRNA from 1 species
AUUGAACGCUGGCGGCAUGCCUUACACAUGCAAGUCGAACGGCAGCACGGGAGCAAUCCUGGUGGCGAGUGGCGAACGGGUGAGUAAAGUAUCGGAACGUGCCCAGUCGUGGGGGAUAACGUAGCGAAAGUUACGCUAAUACCGCAUACGAUCUAUGGAUGAAAGCGGGGGAUCGCAAGACCUCGCGCGAUUGGAGCGGCCGAUAUCAGAUUAGGUAGUUGGUGGGGUAAAGGCUCACCAAGCCGACGAUCUGUAGCUGGUCUGAGAGGACGACCAGCCACACUGGGACGGAGAAACGGCCCAGACUCCUACGGGAGGCAGCAGUGGGGAAGUUUGGACAAUGGGCGAAAGCCUGAUCCAGCCAUGCCGCGUACAGGAUGAAGGCCUUCGGGUUGUAAACUGCUUUUGUACGGAACGAAAAGGUUUGGCCUAAUAAGCUGAGCUCAUGACGGUACCGUAAGAAUAAGCACCGGCUAACUACGUGCCAGCCGCCGCGGUAA